UACGAAGGGUGCAAGCGUUACUCGGAAUUACUGGGCGUAAAGCGUGCGUAGGUGGUUUGUUAAGUCUGAUGUGAAAGCCCUGGGCUCAACCUGGGAAUUGCAUUGGAUACUGGCAGGCUAGAGUGCGGUAGAGGAUGGCGGAAUUCCCGGUGUAGCAGUGAAAUGCGUAGAGAUCGGGAGGAACAUCUGUGGCGAAGGCGGCCAUCUGGACCAGCACUGACACUGAGGCACGAAAGCGUGGGGAGCAAAC
rnacentral:rRNA from 1 species